CCUACGGGUGGCAGCAGUCGAGAAUCAUUCACAAUGGGGGAAACCCUGAUGGUGCGACGCCGCGUGGGGGAAUGAAGGUCUUCGGAUUGUAAACCCCUGUCAUGUGGGAGCAAAUUAAAAAGAUAGUACCACAAGAGGAAGAGACGGCUAACUCUGUGCCAGCAGCCGCGGUAAUACAGAGGUCUCAAGCGUUGUUCGGAAUCACUGGGCGUAAAGCGUGCGUAGGCUGUUUCGUAAGUCGUGUGUGAAAGGCGCGGGCUCAACCCGCGGACGGCACAUGAUACUGCGAGACUAGAGUAAGGGAGGGGAAACCGGAAUUCUCGGUGUAGCAGUGAAAUGCGUAGAUAUCGAGAGGAACACUCGUGGCGAAGGCGGGUUCCUGGACAUUAACUGACGCUGAGGCACGAAGGCCAGGGGAGCGAAAGGGAUUAGAUACCCUUGUAGUC
rnacentral:rRNA from 1 species